rnacentral:tRNA from 2 species
GGGCCUGUAGCUCAGGUGGUUAGAGCGCGCCCCUGAUAAGGGCGAGGUCGUUAGUUCAAGUCUAUUCAGGCCCACCA